rnacentral:lncRNA from 1 species
GACGGUGUUCGUCUGAAUUAGGUUGCAUGUUUUAUUGUACAUUGCUCCUUGGUUUGAAAAUAAUUUUUCAAGAAUGACUGGCUUGUUUUCAGCUGGCGUCGAGCAGGAAAAUCGGAAUAGAUAAGAUAAAAACUUUAUUUCAGGUGCGUAUCACCUUACAAUAUACAGUAAACUGGUGGCCCUCCAAUGUAGUAUCGCUAUAGUAAGCAUGGAUAAUAACAAAUAUUAAGACUGUGAUGCACCAUGCAUGGUAUCCCCGCUCGUUUAUUAACUGAAAGCGCAGAUUGCUCCUUCACUUCUCAAUAACUCUACGUUCUGCGCACUCACUUUUAUUCAAGAAACUUCAUGUAAGUUAUUUGUAAAUACUUAAGGAGGUUCUGCGCAAAACUUUCCCUAACCCCUCGAAAUUAUCGGGAAUUGCUUGACCCCCUUGGAAAUAUUUGGAAAUUUCUUGACCCCAUCGGAAAUUUUUGGAAAUUUCCUGACCCCAUCGGAAAUUUUCGGGAAUUUCUUGUCCCCAUCCGAAAUUUUCGCGAAUUUCUUGACCCCCCUCAGAAAUUUUCGGGAAUUUCUUGACCCCCUCAGAAAUUUUCGGGAAUUUCUUGAGCCCCUCUGAAUUUAUCGGGAAUUUCCUGACCCCCUCAGAAAUUUUCAGGGAUUAUCUUGACCCCCUCGGAAAUUCUCGUCAACAGGUAGUGCCCCUUCAGAAAUGUUCAGAAUUUUGCCCGGCCCUUCAGAAAUUUUAAAAAAAAUUUUGAUCCCUUCAGAAAUUUUGGUUUUACAACACCCCUCGGAAAUUUUCAACUUGGAACCCCCUCAGAAAUUUCAGAAUUUCAGAACCCUUCGGAAAAUCUCGUCAACAGGGGGGUGUGGAUAUUAAAUGGAAUGGCCCAACCGCGCUCGAGUGUGAAGAGAGCAUGCAUUGAAUAACAACACGAGAGAGCAGUGCGAGUAACGAUUUGCUUGGUUUCUUGACUUGACUGUAAGUAAGAAUGUAACAAUGUUCUUGUAAAUUCAAAGCAAAGAAAAUAAACAAAAAUUAGCAAGUAUUUUGAACGUAAUAAUUCGCAAAAUCUAUGUUUUUAACGAAUAUCCCACUGGAAGCAUGUUGAUGUAAUUUGAUACUUUCCCCACACCCCCUCAGGCGCUAAAUUUUUGAUGAAGCA